CUCCAACCCUGUUCCUGGAGAGCUACGGUCCUGUAGGUUUCCACUCCAACCCUGUUCCUGGAGAGCUACUGUCCUGUAGGUUUCCACUCCAACCCUGUUCCUGGAGAGCUACUGUCCUGUAGGUUUCCACUCCAACCAUGUUCCUGGAGAGCUACUGUCCUGUAGGUUUCUACUCCAACCCUGUUCCUGGAGAGUUACUGUCCUUUAGGUUUCCACUCCAACCCUGUAGGUUUCCACUCCAACCCUGUUCCUGGAGAGCUACUGUCCUGUAGGUUUCCACUCCAAACCUGUUCCUGGAGAGCUACUGUCCUGUAGGUUUCCACUCCAACCCUGUUCCUGGAGAGCUACUGUCCUGUAGGUUUCCACUCCAACCAUGUUCCUGGAGAGCUACUGUCCUGUAGGUUUCUACUCCAACCCUGUUCCUGGGGAGUUACUGUCCUUUAGGUUUCCACUCCAACCCUGUUCCUGGAGAGCUACGGUCCUGUAGGUUUCUACUCCAACCCUGUUCCUGGAGAGCUACUGUCCUGUAGGUUUCCACUCCAACCCUGUUCCUGGAGAGCUACUGUCCUGUAGGUUUCUACUCCAACCCUGUUCCUGGAGAGCUACUGUCCUGUAGGUUUCUACUCCAAACCUGUUCCUGGAGAGCUACUGUCCUGUAGGUUUCCAUUCCAACCCUGUUCCUGGAGAGCUACUGUCCUGUAGGUUUCCACUCCAACCCUGUUCCUGGAGAGCUACUGUCCU
rnacentral:lncRNA from 1 species